rnacentral:rRNA from 1 species
CUACGUGCCAGCAGCCGCGGUAAUACGUAGGGGGCAAGCGUUAUCCGGAUUUACUGGGUGUAAAGGGAGCGUAGACGGAAUGGCAAGUCUGAAGUGAAAUACCCGGGCUCAACCUGGGAACUGCUUUGGAAACUGUUGUUCUAGAGUGUUGGAGAGGUAAGUGGAAUUCCUGGUGUAGCGGUGAAAUGCGUAGAUAUCAGGAAGAACACCGGAGGCGAAGGCGGCUUACUGGACAAUAACUGACGUUGAGGCUCGAAAGCGUGGGGAUCAAACAGGAUUAGAUAUCCUGGUAGUCCACGCUGUAAACGAUGAAUACUAGGUGUCGGGGUGCAAAGCAUCUCGGUGCCGUCGCUAACGCAAUAAGUAUUCCACCUGGGGAGUACGUUCGCAAGAAUGAAACUCAAAGGAAUUGACGGGGACCCGCACAAGCAGCGGAGCAUGUGGUUUAAUUCGAAGCAACGCGAAGAACCUUACCUAAACUUGACAUACCAAUGACAGCCUU